GUCUCGAGGUUCGUGGGUUGAAGCCCACAGCGGGCUUUGUGCUGGCGGUAUGGAGCCUGCUUGGGAUUCUCUCCUUCUCUCCCACAUGCUCACACUCUGUCAGAAGAAGUAAAUAAACUUAAAAAAGCCCAAAGAGGCAGCAUUGCCCUCAGGAGCACAGACAUCCAGUUUCCGUUGUCUAGAACCGUGGCUCUGCCUCUCACCUAACCUGCUGUUUCAGAUGGAUAAUCACAAGAUGCCAAGGGCACACAAUGAGAAGAAGUGAUGUAACCUCAGGCCCGAGGGUGAGGUUGGCGUCUGCUAGCUGAUGUAUUCCCCCAAUCCUGGCGGUGUUCCUCUGCACUCUUGUGCCUGUGAUGUGGUGCUGGCUGGAGGAGGAGAUAAGAAGACUGCACCUGAGGAGUCUAGACAGUGACUGCUCUAACGUCAAGAGUGAAGACAACGUGGAGUAGAGCCCCUGGCUGCCCUGUGAUGGACAUAUGAUAGGUUCCUGAGAAUUGCUUGUUACUGCUCUUUGACUAUCUUCAGAGAUUGUGUGACCUGGUUGCACAUGCCUGCCUACCAAGUAACAGAAAGAUGCUGCCAUUGCACUGUGAGCUGAGAUUCACAUGGAACUGUUCCAUAGAGCUAUGGCUGGAAUCAGAGAUUAUGGCUUUCAUUCCCAUGAUCAUCUCAGUGUUAUGCAAUGGCAGUCUCACCUCUAGUCUCCUGUCUGCAUUAUUGGUAAGUAGGAAAAGAAAACAAUAAAGAACAAGAGGUGAGUCAUUAUUUCAAAAGGAAGCUUACCCCGAAAUUGCCUUCAUAUUUUUGCUUUUAACUCAUCAUCCAGAAUGGAGUCUCAUGAACAGCCCUGUACAAGGGAAGCUAAGAAAUGUAGGUUAAUGGCUGAACCUAUUAUUGUCUCUCCCCUCACCAAUGGUAUAGUUGAUUAUUAGACAGACGAGAGGGAUGGACAUUUGGCAGUAUUUCCCAUAAAGGAGAAGCAAAUAUAGCUCUACUCCAGGGUUGAAAACCCUUGUGUAAUAGUAGCCCCAGACUCUCAGGUUUGAGUUGUCUUGCUUUAUAUCCUUGGACUAAUUGCUGAACCUCUCUAAAUAUUUUGUAUUUCAUUUUUGAAAUGUGAUAGCUAGAUUAAAAAUGAUCUUUAGGGUAACUUCAAGCAUUAAAAAUGCAGAUAUCCGUUACCAAGAGCUGUGUGGUCCCAUAAAAUAACCACAAGUCACACAUGGCUAUUAAAAAGCGGCUCGUCUGAACUGAGAUGUUGCAUGGGUUAUGUGUACACACUUGCUAUUGAAGAGCUUGGUGUGACGAAAGUCUCAAAACCUGAUUAAUAAUUGAUCACGUGUUGAAAUGCUGACAUUUCUAAUAUGUUGGAUUAACUAAAAUGCAUUAUUAAAAUUAAUUUCCCCUAUUGCCCCUUACCACUCAAAAGAAAGUAGAGAAUUGGGGCACCUGGGUGGCUCAGUCGGUUGUGUCCGACUUCACCUUAAGUCAUGAUCUCACAUUUUGUGAGUUCG